rnacentral:rRNA from 1 species
UCAAACGAAAUAAGGAUAGCGGCGGAUACCUAGGCAUUCAGAGUCGAAGAAGGGCGUGGAAACCAACGAAAUGCUUCGGGGAGCUGGAAACAAGCAUUGAGCCGGAGAUUCCCGAAUAGGGCAACCUUUUAUACUACUAACUGAAUUCAUAGGUUAGCAAGAGGCAACCCGGUGAAUUGAAACAUCUUAGUAGCCGGAGGAAAAGAAAGCAAAAGCGAUUCCCUGAGUAGCGGCGAGCGAAAAGGGAACAGCCUAAACCAUUUCUUGCAAAAGGAAUGGGGUUGUGGGAAAAGAAAUGGAAAGCCUGUCUCAUAAGAACAGAGAUAGAAAUCUUUGUUCAAUGGUGCAGGAGACAAACAAGAAUUUGUGAAAGAGCACGGUCGUCACACCCGGAACACCCCGUGCGUAAGUGUGUGACGUGAGUUGAUCUAGGUGAAUCAGCUGAAUCCUGAACCAAAGAUGGUGAAAGUCCAGUAACUAAAAGAUCAGCAUCCUUGUGCUCAUUUUCUUUUAUCCCGAGUAGCAUGGGGCACGUGAAAUCCCGUGUGAAUCAGCGAGGACCACCUCGUAAGGCUAAAUACUCCUGAAUGACCGAUAGUGAAUAGUACCGCGAGGGAAAGGUGAAAGAGAACCCCUAAAGGGGAGUGAAAGAGUCCAUGAAACCGUUGUCUGACAAGCUGUGGGAGAGGGAAAGCCCUUGACCGCGUGCCUGUGGAAGAAUGAGCCGGCGACUUAUAGGGAGUGGCUAGGUUAAGGGAGAAGACCCGAAGCCAAAGCGAAAGCAAGUCCUCACAGGGCGUUUCUGUCACUUCUUAUGGACCCGAACCCGGGUGAUCUAACCAUUGCCAGGAUGAAGCUUGGGUAACACCAAGUGGAAGUCCGAACCCAUCGAUGUUGAAAAAUCGUGGGAUGAGUUGUGGUUAGGGGUGAAAUGCCAAUCGAACUCGGAGCUAGCUGGUUCUCCCCGAAAUGCGUUGAGGCGCAGCGGUUGAUGAAUUGAACUGCCUAGGGGUAAAGCACUGUUUCGGUGCGGGCUGCGAGAGCGGUACCAAAUCGUAGCAAACUAAGAAUACUAGGUAUGCAUUCCCAUCAACCAGUGGGACGAUGGGGGAUAAGCUCCAUCGUCGAGAGGGAAACAGCCCAGAUCACCAGCUAAGGCCCCAUAAUGGCCGCUCAGUGGCAAAGGAGGUGAGAAUGCUGAAACAGCCAGAAGGUUCGCUUAGAAGCAGCAAUCCUUUAAAGAGUGCGUAAUAGCUCACUGGUAGAGCGUUCUUGCGCCGAAAAUGUACGGGACUAAGCGGUCUGCCGAAGCUGUGGGUUGCAGAGAAUACCCCUCCAUGAACCUCAUACCCCUAAUAUCCUUGCAAAGGGAAGUUACGGCUUACCUCUAUCGAGGUUAGGGUUCGAAAGACGAGGGAGGAUCUUUCUGCAGCGGUAGGGGAGCGUUCUGCGGCAGGGUGAAGCAAUGGUGUAAACAUUUGUGGACGAGGCAGAAGUGAGAAUGUCGGCUUGAGUAACGCAAACAUUGGUGAGAAUCCAAUGCCCCGAUAACCUAAGGGUUCCUUCACUAGGCUCGUCCUUGGAGGGUGAGUCAGGUCCUAAGGCGAGGCCGAAAGGCGUAGUCGAUGGAAAACAGGUUAAUAUUCCUGUACUUUUUAGAGUGUAGCAUUGAGGGACGAAGGUGGCACGAGAUGGCCAAAACUGGAUUUUGGUGGAAGCAAGCAAGGUUAUGAGAGGGAGAAGAAAAACUCACUUGAGCCGAACUGUGACACGGCUUUGCCUCGGUCUCUUCCUUAAAAGAGAGAUCAGCAAGGCUCAUCUCUCACUGUCAGUCUUCCGAGAAAAGCUCAAAAAAGCGGUCCUCUAAAAACCUGUACCCGAAACCGACACAGGUAGGUGGGUAGAGAAUACCAAGGGGCGCGAGAGAACUCUCUCUAAGGAACUCGGCAAAAUGGCCCCGUAACUUCGGGAGAAGGGGUACCCUCUUUUUGAGGGUCGCAGUGACCAGGCCCAGGCGACUGUUUACCAAAAACACAGGUCUCCGCAAAGUCGCAAGACAAUCUAUGGGGGCUGACGCCUGCCCGGUGCCGGAAGGUGAAGGGAGUGGGUUAUGAGACGCCUCGGCGACGAAGAAGCUUACAACCGAAGCCCCGGUGAACGGCGGCCGUAACUAUAACGGUCCUAAGGUAGCGAAAUUCCUUGUCGGGUAAGUUCCGACCCGCACGAAAGGCGUAACGAUCUGGGCACUGUCUCGGAGAGAGACUCGGUGAAAUAGACAUGUCCGUGAAGAUGCGGACUUCCUGCACCUGGACAGAAAGACCCUAUGAAGCUUUACUGUAGCCUGAGAUUGGGUUUGGGCUUCUUUUGCGCAGCCUAGGUGGGAGGCGUUGAGCACCUUUUUCCGGAAAGGUAGGAGCCAUCAGUGAGAGACCACUCUGGAGAAGCUAGAAUCCUAAUGGUGCUCCUUUAUCAGGACAUUUGACAGUCUCAGGUGGGCAGUUUGACUGGGGCGGUCGCCUCCUAAAAGGUAACGGAGGCGUGCAAAGGUUCCCUCAGGCUGGACGGAAAUCAGCCGCAGAGUGUAAAGGCAGAAGGGAGCUUGACUGCAAGACUUACAAGUCGAGCAGGGGCGAAAGCCGGCCUUAGUGAUCCGACGGUACCAAGUGGAAGGGCCGUCGCUCAACGGAUAAAAGUUACUCUAGGGAUAACAGGCUGAUCUUCCCCAAGAGUUCACAUCGACGGGAAGGUUUGGCACCUCGAUGUCGGCUCAUCGCAACCUGGGGCGGUAGUACGUCCCAAGGGUUGGGCUGUUCGCCCAUGAAAGCGGUACGUGAGCUGGGUUCAGAACGUCGUGAGACAGUUCGGUCCAUAUCCGGUGCAGGCGGUAGAGCAUUGAGGGGAGCCUCCCAUAGUACGAGAGGACCUGGGAGGACGCACCACUGGUAUACCAGUUUUUGUGCCAACAGAACACGCUGGGUAGCCAAGUACGGAGCGGAUAACUGCUGAAAGCAUCUAAGUAGGAAGCCCACCCCAAGAUGAGUGCUCUCCAUAAGGCCAUGGCAAGACAAGCCGUUUGAUAGGUGCCAGGUGGAAGACCAGCAAUGGUUGAAGCCAAGGCGCACUAAUAGGCCGAGAGAGUUUGACUU